rnacentral:rRNA from 1 species
AACGAACGCUGGCGGCAGGCUUAACACAUGCAAGUCGAGCGCCCCGCAAGGGGAGCGGCAGACGGGGGAGUAACGCGUGGGAAUCUACCCAUCUCUACGGAAUAACGCAUGGAAACGUGUGCUAAUACCGUAUACGUCCUUCGGGAGAACGAUUUAUCGGAGAUGGAUGAGCCCGCGUUGGAUUAGCGAGUUGGUGGGGUAAAGGCCUACCAAGGCGACGAUCCAUAGCUGGUCUGGGAGGAUGAUCAGCCACACUGGGACUGAGACACGGCCCAGACUCCUACGGGAGGCAGCAGUGGGGAAUAUUGGACAAUGGGCGCAAGCCUGAUCCAGCCAUGCCGCGUGAGUGAUGAAGGCCCUAGGGUUGUAAAGCUCUUUCACCGGCGAAGAUAAUGACGGUAACCGGAGAAGAAGCCCCGGCUAACUUCGUGCCAGCCGCCGCAGUAAGAC